AACGAACGCUGGCGGCAGGCCUAAAACAUGCAAGUCGAACGAACCUUCGGGUUAGUGGCGCACGGGUGAGUAACACGUGGGAAUGUGCCUCUGGGUGCGGAACAACGUCGGGAAACUGACGCUAAUACCGCAUAAUGUCUACGGACCAAAGAUUUAUUGCCCAGAGAUCAGCCCGCGUCUGAUUAGCUAGUUGGUGAGGUAACGGCUCACCAAGGCGACGAUCAGUAGCUGGUCUGAGAGGAUGAUCAGCCACACUGGAGCUGAGACACGGUCCAGACUCCUACGGGAGGCAGCAGUUAGGAAUAUUGGACAAUGUGGGCAACCCUGAUCCAGCCAUGCCGCGUGUGUGAAGAAGGCCUUAGGGUUGUAAAGCACUUUCGGCUGUGAAGAUAAUGACAGUAGCAGAAGAAGAAGCUCCGGCUAAAUUCGUGACAGCAGCCGCAGUAA
rnacentral:rRNA from 1 species